GAUGAACGCUGGCGGCGUGCCUAAUACAUGCAAGUCGAGCGAAUGGAUUAAGAGCUUGCUCUUAUGAAGUUAGCGGCGGACGGGUGAGUAACACGUGGGUAACCUGCCCAUAAGACUGGGAUAACUCCGGGAAACCGGGGCUAAUACCGGAUACCAUUUUGAACCGCCUGGUUCGAAAUUGAAAGGCGGCUUCCGCUGUCACUUAUGGAUGGACCAGCGUCGCAUUAGCUAGUUGGUGAGGUAACGGCUCACAAAGGCAACGAUGCGUAGCCGACCUGAGAGGGUGAUCGGCCACACUGGGACUGGGACACGGCCCAGACUCCUACGGGAGGCAGCAGUAGGGAAUCUUCCGCAAUGGACGAAAGUCUGACGGAGCAACGCCGCGUGAGUGAUGAAGGCUUUCGGGUCGUAAAACUCUGUUGUUAGGGAAGAACAAGUGCUAGUUGAAUAAGCUGGCACCUUGACGGUACCUAACCAGAAAGCCACGGCUAACUACGUGCCAGCCGCCGCGGUAA
rnacentral:rRNA from 1 species